AUUAUUUAAGUUGUUUCGUUAGAGGAAACUCGUGCUUUUACAGUUAAUGAAUGAUCAGAUACGAUGCUAUGUGGUAGGUGUUGCAUAGGUAGCAUUGCGAUUAAAAUGGCACAAAUGUGGCAGCCAUAUUGCCUGGUAGAAGAUUAUAAAUUUACGUGAAAUACAGAAUGGCUGGAAUACUGGUGGAAGGUGGCAGCGAAGCGUGAUGGACGAAAUCUUCUCGGCUCGAUUGAGCGAUAUUCACUCAUAUGAAUUAAAGUUUAAGCCUGCACACCUUCACCGACACUUGGCUCCUCUGCUUAUUGACUCCUGCUGCCUCUCCGCGGCCCCUUGAUCAAUCUUUCGAGAGUAAUGAAGCCUGUGACGACAAAUAUUUAACAUACUGGGGGCCGAGCCUCUUAGAACCGCUUUGUGAUGCUUCGUCUAUGAUCUUUGCAUCAAUUAAUUUUUUGUUCCGAUCUAAUCUUCGAUCGAAGAAGCUCAAUGAACAGAAGUCAGGAUAUCGUAUGUAUAUUGUCAAUUUUAUGGGAACAAGAUAUUCGAUCGAGGCCAAUACUCUUACGUGCAAUUAUUCAUACUGUUGUUGCUACUACAAACAAGUCUAGUAAUCCGAUGGAUGUUUCUUUUCAAUCUCAGCCGGUUUCUUUCCCUUUUCAAGAAAUACGAGGGUAAAAAAGAGAGACAAAAGGGUAUGCACGGAAGGAAGGAAGAAGAUAAAGAUUGAGAGGCAGACUGGCCGGAGGAAGAAAAUUGGUAGAGGCAGGCUCGUGUACGUUCCAGAAAACUGGCCGCCAUGUCGGCCUCCACCACCCCCACUACAUACCUAUAUGCAGCCAGCAGCACGAGAUAUCGUCCAUUGCACUUUUCAAGCUUUCAUGUGAACGCACUAUACAUAUAUACGCAUGUGCUUCUGCCUAUGUGAACAGGCGGCAAGCUCACACGUAUCCAGCGGUAGCUCCCCGUAAGAGGAGAGACUGGUCCGCUCGGUGCACAGGAAAAUAAAAUCGUCAGUGACAUUUUACAGUUACAUCAGUCCAAUAUAAAAUACAUAUUACGAAUAUUACAAGAUCUGCACAUCUGUUAGUACAGCGGGGAAUUAAUCCCCAAGGGAAUUGAAAUGAUUGAAAUAGAGGUAAUAGAGGUACUUGGAAAAGGACUGACAUAGUAGCACAUCCUAGUUCAUCAAUAUUUAAUAUUUUUACUACUGGUAAAGCUCAAAGAUGAUAACUUAUAGUCUUGUACAAUCACUCAAUACUGGUCUUUUCAAAAGCGAUACCCCAAUUCUCCUUGAAAGAGUAACACAUAUAUCGCUCGUCACAGGGAGAUAUAAAGGGUAAAAUCAUCAAUAAAAAUUAAACAGAAUCAGAAGGAUGUCGCAGGUGGUAUUUUCGCUGCACGCUGUCUGAUUUUCUAAGUCGACCUUAGGCGGGAUAAAAGGGGGAGGGGGCUGUCUCCCACUCAAUUGCAGCGAGCUGGCAACGCUAUUGGCAAGUGGCAACGCUGGCCGACUGCACGAGGGAGGGGUAAGAGUGAAACUAUAGUAAUGUGGAGUGGGGUCGAUGGUCCCCCACUGGUUACGCCACUGGCACUGAAUUUCGCACGGUCUAAACGGAGAGUUGACUGAGAGGAACAGAGACGGAACACGACAGACCACCGACUGCAAGAGGGUGAGAGGGCAAAGACCAGACGGAGAGAGAAAAAGGGAGAGAAAUAGAGAGAAGAGGCAGCCAUGUGCGUCUCCGAGCAGCCUCGAAGCUCUCUGCAACUAUACGAACGUUCGCCUUCGUUCCCGUUCUCCUUCGCGCCGAAUUCGUGCUAGCGUAGAUAUGAAAUCUGGGAAGGUUCAUCACUGGAGUAUGUUGCAAUACAUAAGGACCAAUGAAAUUCCCGGUGCAUCAAAUAAGCGGCAUUCUUUCCUCUCCGCUCCUCGAGCUCCCAAUGAAAAAGAUGAUGCGAGGGCCGACGCGUGUGGAACACGAAGUGCAGCCGGGACCGUGGUUGAUCGUUGUCGGGGAGCAAAGGUGCAAGCUUGAUAGUCCGCCGUUCCGUUCGUUCCGCCGUUCCUCCCGUCCGGGUUCCACCGUCCAUGUCUCGGUUCGUUCGCUGGUUCAGCUGGCGUCCCACGGCACGCAGUCUGUCGCUGUCACCGACGAAGCUCGCUUCUUGUAUAGCCGUAUGCCCGAACAACCAAGACACUUCCGGUAGAGGAAACUCGAUUAUCGGAUACCAACUGUCAAAGUUCUUCGAGAGUUUCAAUCAUUUUCUAGGGGAAUUCUAGUUUUUUGAGAUUAUUCUGAAAGUAUGGUGAAUUUAAGUUCGAGAAUAUUCUUGGAUACGAUUUUCCCUGAAACCGGACGCGCGAAUCGCGAUUGUGACCGUGACUGGAAGGUGACAUGGUAUCUUCCCAUGAGUGACGCGGGUGUCCAGCAAAGUGGCAAGUGUUUUCUUCUCCCUCCUUGGAUCUGGAGACGCCGGUUUUUCCCCGGUUAAUUGUGCUGUGUGACGGGUGUGUGCGUGCAGUGUGUCCACACAGUGUAUGGUCGACGUGGUGAAGAUUCAGGCGAGUCCUUAUGUAGCUCUGGAAUAUCUGGUGUAAUCGAUGAGGAUAAUUGUAGGAGAUGUGCUGCAGGCAGAAUCUAUUAUUUCAUGGUUCGUGAGGGAAACAAAUUAUGCUACAUACAUAUAUUUUAUCCACACGUUCUACCUCUUCUACUUGAAAUUGUAUUCUACCGACGCCAUAUUGAAAUGGCGCGCUACAACUGAGCGGUUCGCGUUGAACCAAGAUUACAGCAGCAGAAUUAU